rnacentral:sRNA from 1 species
AUGCAACGGGGUCCACAUCCGCCGGCGAGUUUCGCCCGCGGAUGCAUUCUUG